rnacentral:rRNA from 1 species
GACGAACGCUGGCGGCGUGCUUAACACAUGCAAGUCGAACGGAAAGGCCCUGCUUUUGUGGGGUGCUCGAGUGGCGAACGGGUGAGUAACACGUGAGUAACCUGCCCUUGACUUUGGGAUAACUUCAGGAAACUGGGGCUAAUACCGGAUAGGAGCUCCUGCUGCAUGGUGGGGGUUGGAAAGUUUCGGCGGUUGGGGAUGGACUCGCGGCUUAUCAGCUUGUUGGUGGGGUAGUGGCUUACCAAGGCUUUGACGGGUAGCCGGCCUGAGAGGGUGACCGGCCACAUUGGGACUGGGAGACGGCCCAGACUCCUACGGGAGGCAGCAGUGGGGAAGAUGGCACAAUGGGCGGAGGCCGGAUGCAGCAACGCCGCGUGCGGGAUGACGGCCUUCGGGUGGUAAACCGCUUUCGCCUGUGACGAAGCGUGAGUGACGGUAAUGGGUAAAGAAGCACCGGCUAACUACGUG